UACGAAGGGGGCUAGCGUUGCUCGGAAUUACUGGGCGUAAAGGGCGCGUAGGCGGCACUGUUAGUCAGGCGUGAAAGUCCUGGGCUCCAACCUGGGAACCUGGCGCUUGAUACGGCAGAGCUAGAGGAUGGAAGAGGCUCGCGGAAUUCCCAGUGUAGAGGUGAAAUUCGUAGAUAUUGGGAAGAACACCGGUGGCGAAGGCGGC
rnacentral:rRNA from 1 species